rnacentral:rRNA from 1 species
AGAGUUUGAUCCUGGCUCAGGAUGAACGCUAGCUACAGGCUUAACACAUGCAAGUCGAGGGGCAGCAUGAACUUAGCUUGCUAAGUUUGAUGGCGACCGGCGCACGGGUGAGUAACACGUAUCCAACCUGCCGAUGACUCGGGGAUAGCCUUUCGAAAGAAAGAUUAAUACCCGAUGGCAUAGUUCUUCCGCAUGGUAGAACUAUUAAAGAAUUUCGGUCAUCGAUGGGGAUGCGUUCCAUUAGGUUGUUGGCGGGGUAACGGCCCACCAAGCCUUCGAUGGAUAGGGGUUCUGAGAGGAAGGUCCCCCACAUUGGAACUGAGACACGGUCCAAACUCCUACGGGAGGCAGCAGUGAGGAAUAUUGGUCAAUGGACGAGAGUCUGAACCAGCCAAGUAGCGUGAAGGAUGACUGCCCUAUGGGUUGUAAACUUCUUUUAUACGGGAAUAAAGUGAGGCACGUGUGCCUUUUUGUAUGUACCGUAUGAAUAAGGAUCGGCUAACUCCGUGCCAGCAGCCGCGGUAAUACGGAGGAUCCGAGCGUUAUCCGGAUUUAUUGGGUUUAAAGGGAGCGUAGGCGGACGCUUAAGUCAGUUGUGAAAGUUUGCGGCUCAACCGUAAAAUUGCAGUUGAUACUGGGUGUCUUGAGUACAGUAGAGGCAGGCGGAAUUCGUGGUGUAGCGGUGAAAUGCUUAGAUAUCACGAAGAACUCCGAUUGCGAAGGCAGCCUGCUGGACUGUAACUGACGCUGAUGCUCGAAAGUGUGGGUAUCAAACAGGAUUAGAUACCCUGGUAGUCCACACAGUAAACGAUGAAUACUCGCUGUUUGCGAUAUACAGUAAGCGGCCAAGCGAAAGCAUUAAGUAUUCCACCUGGGGAGUACGCCGGCAACGGUGAAACUCAAAGGAAUUGACGGGGGCCCGCACAAGCGGAGGAACAUGUGGUUUAA